ACAGGGAUUGCCUUAGUAACGGCGAGUGAAGCGGCAGCAGCUCAAAUUUGAAAUCUGGCUCCUUUGGGGCCCGAGUUGUAAUUUGUAGAGGAUGCUUCGGCGUGGUCCCAGGUCUAAGUUCCUUGGAACAGGACGUCACAGAGGGUGAGAAUCCCGUACGUGGCCGUGGGUACCCGCCAUGUGAAGCUCCUUCGACGAGUCGAGUUGUUUGGGAAUGCAGCUCUAAAUGGGAGGUAAAUUUCUUCUAAAGCUAAAUACUGGCCAGAGACCGAUAGCGCACAAGUAGAGUGAUCGAAAGAUGAAAAGCACUUUGGAAAGAGAGUCAAAAAGUACGUGAAAUUGUUGAAAGGGAAGCGCUUGCAACCAGACCUGCCUGCGGUUGCUCAUCCGGGCUCUUGCCCGGUGCACUCUUCCGCAGUCAGGCCAGCAUCAGUUCUGGCGGUCGGAUAAAGGCGGCGGGAAUGUGGCUCCCCUCGGGGAGUGUUAUAGCCCGUCGUGUAAUGCGGCCAGCCGGGACUGAGGUCCGCGCUUCGGCUAGGAUGCUGGCGUAAUGGUUGUAAGCGGCCCGUCUUGAAACACGGACCAAGGAGUCUAACAUCUGUGCGAGUGUUUGGGUGUCAAGCCCAGGCGCGUAAUGAAAGUGAACGGAGGCGGGAACCUUCGGGUGCACCGUCGACCGAUCCUGAUGUCUUCGGAUGGAUUUGAGUAAGAGCAUAGCUGUUGGGACCCGAAAGAUGGUGAACUAUGCCUGAAUAGGGUGAAGCCAGAGGAAACUCUGGUGGAGGCUCGCAGCGGUUCUGACGUGCAAAUCGAUCGUCAAAUUUGGGCAUAGGGGCGAAAGACUAAUCGAACUAUCUAGUAGCUGGUUCCUGCCGAAGUUUCCCUCAGGAUAGCAGUAACGUUUUCAGUUUUAUGAGGUAAAGCGAAUGAUUAGAGGCAUGGGGGUUGAAACAACCUUCACCUAUUCUCAAACUUUAAAUAUGUAAGAAGUCCUUGUUGCUUAGUUGAACGUGGACAUUUGAAUGUAUCGUUACUAGUGGGCCAUUUUUGGUAAGCAGAACUGGCGAUGCGGGAUGAACCGAACGCGGGGUUAAGGUGCCGGAAUGCACGCUCAUCAGACACCACAAAAGGUGUUAGUUCAUCUAGACAGCAGGACGGUGGCCAUGGAAGUCGGAAUCCGCUAAGGAGUGUGUAACAACUCACCUGCCGAAUGAACUAGCCCUGAAAAUGGAUGGCGCUCAAGCGUGCUACCCAUACCCCGCCGCCGGGGCAAAAGUUACGCCCCGGCGAGUAGGCAGGCGUGGAGGCGUGUGACGAAGCCUUGG
rnacentral:rRNA from 1 species